CCCAGCUUGCUGGGUGGAUUAGUGGCGAACGGGUGAGUAACACGUGGGUGAUCUGCCCUGCACUCUGGGAUAAGCCUGGGAAACUGGGUCUAAUACCGGAUAUGACCUCGGGAUGCAUGUCCUGGGGUGGAAAGUUUUUCGGUGCAGGAUGAGCCCGCGGCCUAUCAGCUUGUUGGUGGGGUAAUGGCCUACCAAGGCGACGACGGGUAGCCGGCCUGAGAGGGCGACCGGCCACACUGGGACUGAGACACGGCCCAGACUCCUACGGGAGGCAGCAGUGGGGAAUAUUGCACAAUGGGCGCAAGCCUGAUGCAGCGACGCCGCGUGAGGGAUGACGGCCUUCGGGUUGUAAACCUCUUUCAGCAGGGACGAAGCGCAAGUGACGGUACCUGCAGAAGAAGCACCGGCCAACUACGUGCCAGCAGCCGCGGUAAUACGUAGGGUGCGAGCGUUGUCCGGAAUUACUGGGCGUAAAGAGCUCGUAGGCGGUUUGUCGCGUCGUCUGUGAAAUCCCGCAGCUCAACUGCGGGCUUGCAGGCGAUACGGGCAGACUCGAGUACUGCAGGGGAGACUGGAAUUCCUGGUGUAGCGGUGAAAUGCGCAGAUAUCAGGAGGAACACCGGUGGCGAAGGCGGGUCUCUGGGCAGUAACUGACGCUGAGGAGCGAAAGCGUGGGUAGCGAACAGGAUUAGAUACCCUGGUAGUCCACGCCGUAAACGGUGGGCGCUAGGUGUGGGUUUCCUUCCACGGGAUCCGUGCCGUAGCCAACGCAUUAAGCGCCCCGCCUGGGGAGUACGGCCGCAAGGCUAAAACUCAAAGG
rnacentral:rRNA from 1 species